AUGGUGCACGAGGCCCGUGCUGGCUCCGCCCUCCCCCGGGUUGGCUUUUUACCCCUCCGUCCUUUCCACCCCCACCCCGCCCGCCCCCCGCCAAGAGACGGGCCCGGCGCUGAGUUGGGGGCGAACCCGGGUGGGGCUGCCGCCUCCUUGCACCGCGCCCCGGGAGGUUGGUUCACCUGUCCGACUAGUUCCUCUUCUCCGAGCUCCCUCGCCCUCCUGCCUUUGCACCGCCCGGGGCAACGGCGCGGGGUGCGUGGGCUGUUUUAUUGCAUUUAUUUAUUUAUUUAUCCCUCCCGGAGCCAGUGCGAGUUUUAUGUUUUAAUAACUUUAUCAACUCGGCGAACUUGCGCGAGGGCACAGGCAGCUUCUCCUGCCCUCCCUCCUCCUCCCCUCCCCCCGCCCCCACCAAUCUCUAACUGGCCUCUGGGUCCCUUCCAAAAGGGGCUUCCUUCCAGUUCUCCUUCUUACGGCUUCACCACUGGUGUGGUCAACACAGCAGGCAAAAUUAACCCGACUGAAGGUGAGGACAGAGUGCAGAGAGGCUGUGUGCCUGGCCAAGGUCACGCAGUAACACCCUGACAGACCCCUGGCUGGCGGGGAGACUUCCCCUCCUCUCCAGGCCCGCUCGCUAGGAGGUUCUCUACUGGACAAGGGCGCCAUGGCGUAUGAAUUAGGAAUUUAAAACAACAGCAAAACUUAAGGAUUGAGAAUGCAGGAGAAAAAUGUUGGUGAGAAAUGCACUCAGCCCUGUGUUUUUGUGUGUGUGCAAACUGCCUGGAAAGUG
ensembl:lncRNA